GGGAAGUACUGGAGCAAGUCAUGUAGCUGAUGUAAGCACAAGCCCAUAGGUCCUGAAGGAGUUGGUGUGGAGCUACUGGGUACUCAGCAAAGGACCCAUGCAGGACAUGAGGCUGGUGAUCUCUCUUGCUUCACUCUAUCUCAAUCCCUGCUGAUGCCACAGGUUCACGUGGAGAACUGGACAAACACUGGUAUGAGAGCAGCCCCCGUUUAUUGGUGGAGGAGACAUUCCAAGAUGCUCACUGAAUGCUGGAAACCAUAUUCAACUGUGGAUAUGCUAUAUUCAUACCUGGGAUACUGUCUAAUUUAUAUAUU
rnacentral:lncRNA from 1 species